UACGUAGGUGGCAAGCGUUGUCCGGAAUUACUGGGUGUAAAGCGCGUGUAGGCGGCAGACCAAGUCGGCGGUGAAUGCGCCCGGCUCAACUGGGCGAGGUCCGUGGAAACUGGUCAGCUGGAGGACGGUAGAGGCGAGUGGAAUUCCCGGUGUAGUGGUGAAAUGCGUAGAGAUCGGGAGGAACACCUGUGGCGAAGGCGGCUCGCUGGGCCGGUCCUGACGCUGAGACGCGAAGGCGUGGGGAGCGAACGGG
rnacentral:rRNA from 1 species